rnacentral:rRNA from 1 species
UACAGAGGUCUCAAGCGUUGUUCGGAUUCAUUGGGCGUAAAGGGUGCGUAGGUGGCGUGGUAAGUCGGGUGUGAAAUUUCGGAGCUUAACUCCGAAACUGCAUUCGAUACUGCGGUGCUUGAGGACUGGAGAGGAGACUGGAAUUCAUGGUGUAGCGGUGAAAUGCGUAGAGAUCAUGAGGAACACCGGUGGCGAAGGCGGGUCUCUGGGCAGUAACUGACGCUGAGGAGCGAAAGCGUGGGGAGCGAACAGG